CAGCUGAUCCCUGGUUCGAUCCCGAGCCAUGGGUCAGCAUCCGAGUGUCAUUUUGCACAUUCUGGGUUUCCUCUGGGUUCUCCGGUUUCCUCCCACCUCCCAAAAACAUAUCUGUGGGUGGAUUGGCUACGCUCAAUUGCCCCAGGUGUAAAUGCGUGUGCGGGACUGGCAUCCCGUUCAGGGUGUAUACCUGCCCCAUGCCCAGUAUUCCCAGAACAAACCAGGAUAAAGUAGCUCUGAGUGAGUGUUUAAGGCAUGAAGUUAACUCGAAGGCACAGACAAGGCGGUGGUGGAGUGUUCAAGCCAUGCAUGUUUAUACACAUAACAGACACUCAUCAUUUUAGCUCUUGAAUAUAGUUACCUCAGAAUAAAAACAGUCUAGAGUGAGCAGGAGCACCAAAGUGUUGACAGUUGUUGACAAAAACACCAGUGACAUGUGUCACAUCUGCAGCACCGUCGCUGACAUCCUGGCUAAAAUACAAAUAACUCCCUAUGGGACGUAUAGUGCACUGCAUAAAGUGUGGAAUUCGUUGUUUAAUAGUCUACGUAGUGCACUUGUAUAGGGAGCAGGGAGGCAUUUGGGAUUCAGCCCUCGUCUGGUUGAGCCGAACCAGCUAGCUUGGGUAGCUAAGGAGCUAACAAAACGCGACAGAGCAGAAAUAAGGGUUGCGGGGAACCUGGAGCCCAUCCAAGGGAGCAUCGGGCACAAGGCGGGGUACACCCUGAACGGGGUGCCAAUCCAUCACAGGGCACAAUCACAUACACAUUAACACACCCAUUAAUACACUACGGACACGUUAGGCAUGCUAGUCAGCUUACCAUGCAUGUUUUUGGACUGGGGAGGAAACCGGACUACCUGGAGGAAACCCCCACAGCACGGGAAUCGAACCCCCAACCCUGGAAGUGUGAGUAAAAGUCCUGAAGACUCUUCCCUCCUGGAAAACCUACUGACAGUUACAAUGCGCUGACGCUGGAGACUUCUUCCAUAAAUGUUAAAUAAACCUCUCCUUACAGAAAGCUUAACCAUAACAACGAUUUCUUUGUUAAAUAACAAGAUCAUUUCUGAACCCAUUUAUUAUUAGUCUUAGAUUAUGUGGAGUGUCCACCAUACCUUAUGAAUAAAAUGCUAGUAUAGAAAUGCUAACAUAGUAGAACAAGUGUACUAAUAUAAACUUUUGAUUUGAAGU